rnacentral:rRNA from 1 species
GACAGAGGGGGCAAGCGUUGUCCGGACUGACUGGGCGUAAAGCGCGCGCAGGCGGUCUCGGGCGUCGGUGCUGAAAGUCCACCGCUUAACGGUGGGAUGCGUGCCGAUACGCCGAGACUGGAGGGUGGGCGAGGGUGGUGGAAUUGCCGGUGUAGUGGUGAAAUGCGUAGAGAUCGGCAGGAACACCCGUGGUGAAAACGGCCACCUAGCCCAUACCUGACGCUGAGGCGCGAAAGCUAGGGGAGCAAACAGG